rnacentral:misc_RNA from 1 species
UUUCCGUAGGUGAACCUGCGGAAGGAUCAUUAAAAAUGCCCCGGCCCUCGCAUUCCGUUCACAUGAGUGGUGCGUGCGGUUUAAGGUUUAUUAGUUGCCUACCCUUUGUGAAACUUCUACCUUUUGCUUCGGCAGCACCAUGCGGGUGAGACCCCGCAUGGGUAAGGCUGUCAGAAGCCUAUAACAAAAAAUAAACCAGUUUAUGAAAUGUCAUGCUGUCUGAUAGCUAUUAUUUGAAAUCAUAAUUAAAACUUUCAGCAACGGAUCUCUUGGUUCCC